rnacentral:lncRNA from 1 species
AAUUAUUGUUGCAUUCGUAAUAAAUCAGUUCCUCGCCCAACUUUGCAUUCCAGCAAUUAGUCUCCAGUGUAACAAUAAUAUUUUUAUUGUUGUUACAUUUCCAUGUAACCGUAGCCAGUGCCUAAUAAAAUUGAGAAUGAAAAAGGGGAAUGUGUCAUAUAGACAAUAACCUGAUCUAAGAGCAGACAACAGUCGAAGGUUACCAAUGGAUCUUUAAUGCCGGGAGAAACUCCUACACCCAAAGGAUUGCUUUUGCUGGCCCCUUUACAUAAUAACGAAAAUGUAUACUAUUUCAACUAGUCACUUUGUUCCGGUGGAACUUUUAAAUCAGAGGAAGAACAAAGUAACACAUACUAAUAAGUUCCUCUGGAACUUUUCGGCUAGUGAGUUCUUUCCGCCCGGAACUUUCCAACGUCGGAACAAAAGAGCAUUUACAAUAACUUGGACAUACGCUAAAAUCAGAAGUAUACACAAGAAAUUAAAAUUUAAAAAAAAAUGUACAAAACAAUUAUGAAAAAUAAAUAUGAUAUACAGCAACAAUCACCACAUUAGUGGGUCCUCACUAUGGACAGGUGCAUACAGAAUGUGGCGGCUUAAACAUCUUAACUGGCACAAAACUCUCCCCUAACAUAGGACAGUGUAUGUGUAUAAUCUCAGACAUUGAAUCUUUAUAAAUAUAAAUUGGAAAUAACUUUUGAAAGUGGUAGGAUUGCAUAACAUAAUCAUUACUGUACAAGCAUUAUUCAUGUUAUUUGAUACUUUAGAAAUAGCUGAGAACAAUGCCUGAGAUAAAUAUUUUGACUAAUUCUUUACACUAUUCAUCUGAACUUGGCCAAGUUUGCCUUUGGGUUUUUGAUUAACUGCCUAUAGCACCCUUUGGUGCUUUGAUUUU